GACAGAGGGUGCAAACGUUGUUCGGAAUUACUGGGCGUAAAGCGCGUGUAGGCGGUUAUGCAAGUCGGGAUGUGAAAGGCCCGGACGCCUCAACUCCGGAAGUGCAUUCGAUACUGGCGUAGCUAGAGUACUGGAGAGGAUGGUGGAACUCUCGGUGUAGAGGUGAAAAUUCGUAGAUAUCGAGAAGAACACCGGUGGCGAAGGCGGCCAUCUGGACAGAUACUGACGCUGAGACGCGAAAGCGUGGGGAGCAAACAGG
rnacentral:rRNA from 1 species